GUUUAGAUGCUCAGACUGAGAGUUUAGACACUCAGAUUGGGAUUAAUCCAGGUUUAGAUGCUCAGAUUGGGAUUACUCCAGGUUUAGAUGGUCAGACUGAGAGUUUAGACACUCAGAUUGGGAUUAAUCCAGGUUUAGAUGCUCAGAUUGGGAUUAAUCCAGGUUUAGAUGCUCAGACUGAGAGUUUAGACACUCAGAUUAGGAUUAAUCCAGGUUUAGACGCUCAGAUUGGGAUUAAUCCAGGUUUAGACGCUCAGAUUGUGAUUAAUCCAGGUUUAGAUGCUCAGACAGAGAGUUUAGACACUCAGAUUAGGAUUAAGCCAGGUUUAGAUGGUCAGACUGAGAGUUUAGACACUCAGAUUGGGAUUAAUCCAGGUUUAGAUGCUCAGAUUGGGAUUAAUCCAGGUUUAGAUGCUCAGACUGAGAGUUUAGACACUCAGAUUGGGAU